CAUGGCCCAGAGACACCGUGGCCAGCCUACAUCAUGCCCAGUCCUCUCAGUUCUCGCUGCGGUUCUUCCCCGGGAGCUGGGCACCCGCCCCUGCCCCAAGGGCCACUGUCCAAGCUGGGUGUGUACAAAAGUACUGAAGACGAGCCCAUACAAGCAGGUGUGGCCAGACACACAAGGGGCGUCAGUAGAGGGCCACAGGACAGACGGCACGCUGGGGCCUGGAGCUUCCCGGCUCAGCUUUACAUCCUAGGAAAACAUCAGGCAGUAAUUUGGUUUAUUGUGUGCAGACCGCAACGGUCCAGUCUGGGCCACGGCCACACCAAACUAUUCCUGGCAAGUAGAAAGGCCUCCCGGAAGAGAAACCGAAAGUUUUGAAAAGAAAGCAGGAGCAAAGGGCAAGCUCUGCUCAGAUUUUGGACCACCUCCUUCCUGGCACACUUCUUACAAAAACAGAAUGCCCCCCGGCUGUGCAGAUGAAGAGGAAAGUUCCAAUCUCCUGUUUGGGCGGGAUCCUUGCAAGAUGUCCCCGGAAAUCUACCAUCAAACUCCAGGUCAUGAAGACUUACCCUGUGUUUUUCCCAGGAGUCCUACGGUUUCGGUUCUUAGAUUCAUGCCGUCAACCCACUGGAGUUCGUGUUCGCGUG